rnacentral:tRNA from 1 species
GCCGCGGUAGCUCAGCCCGACCACUAGGGACUAAGGAGAGCGCCCGGCUGAAGACCGGGGUGUCGCCAGUUCAAAUCUGGCCCGCGGCA